UCCAUCUCCGCCCUGGACAUCGCUCACUCUCUUCCUGGGCUGUCAAGGAGACAGAAGGGCAUGGGGCUCAUCUGUCUCCCUUCUCUGAGAGCUGCUCCUAGCAAGAGGAGGAGGAGGGCAGGGCAGGGCAGGAUUUCCCUCCAUCAUGCUUGCUGCCAGUUAAAGGUAAUUCCUUCCUGAAGGAGUCCAUCCAACAGGCUGGUCCCAACACUAUGGUGAUAACAAUGAGACCUACACAUAGUCUCACCAGCCACGCCUCACUCUUCCCUUUCCAGGUCACCAGACAUAAUGGAGCUUCCUUUGGUCAGCGACUCGGCAGCAAACAGUUGACGUACUCGUCUGAGAAGCCGGUCUUUUGGGUGCCUGGCAUCUCUUCCCUCCACCCCACCCCUCCUUCAAUUAAGGCAAGGGACUUAAGAAACAGAAUGGACUCCAUUCAAGUCACCUCAAGGUCUUUUGCCAAAAGUCAACAGAAACUUUCACUGCGUGGAAAUCUACAGCUGUAAAGAGACCCAAAGAAGGUAGAAUUCUUGGAUGUUCCGUAGGGGUGGGGACCUCUUCAUCGAGCUGGAAGCUGCCAUUUUCCCCUACUCUCUGGGAGAGGCAAGCAUGGUAUGGCAGACUCUGAAAUCGGAGGUCCUGGAAUUCACCUCCUGACUCUGGUGCCCACUAGCUGUAUGACCCUGAGGAAGUGACUGACUCUCCCUGGGCCUGUUUCUUUGGCCUCAUUCCCCUGGCCCAGCGGGUCUCUCAGCUCCCUUCUAAUCCUAGAUCAAUGAUUAUUUGCUUAAGAGUUGUUGAUCAUGGUAAGACUGGCAUGAACUG